rnacentral:sRNA from 1 species
CAUUUCUCAUUUAAACGUACUCGUACCUAGUAAUAUUAUAGUAAACCAAUAAAUUACCAUUGCAACUAUAAUUAGUCUGUUUGUUUCGUCACCGUAUGCGACAACGGUAAAUUUUACCACAGAUUAUUGUUCGUUUCGUCGCUGCUGACGUAUAAUUUAUUUUUGUUUGAUGAUGCUGACGCCGACUCUGCCGUUGCCGCAGAUGUUUAUGUUAAGGGCAAUGCAAAUCUAAAUCCAAUUAACUCCAAUGGUUAUAUAAAGAGUAGAGAACAACAUAUGAUUUAAAGCAAGUAAGCAUUAGUGAUUUAGAACCAUAUAGUGAAAAAGACCGUAAGUAUUAGUUCCAAACAUUCAGACCCAUUAUACAGAAACAGACAUAGAAUUUGGAAAUUUAGAAUAAACCCACCAAACUAAGAGUAGCUAAAAAAACACAAAUCAAAAAGAAACUCAAAAUUCCCAAGAGAUUUGAAUCAGUGAAUAACAAAAGUACCUCGGAAUAGAUAUUUAACGUCGUAUCAGAAGUAACUAACGACGGGAGAUCUAAUUGAGCUAAAAUCACCGAAAAAGCGAGAUUGAGACGGCGGAGAGAGAUUAGUUUCAAAGAACUUGAGAUCGAUGACUAUAAGAAAGAAAUGAUGAAAGAAGAAGAAAAAAUAAGGUUAGGUUUGUUUGUAGUUUCCCAAACAUAGUAAGGAUAGUCUUGUCAUUUACCACAUAUAACGCAGCUUUUAAUCGUUUAACGCUGAUUUUAAUUAGCGAUAAUAAUUUUUAGCCGCAACGACUUACGUUUACUGCAUCGGCAUGCAUCCACCAAACGAACAUCACCAUUUGUGUCUGCCGCUGCAACUUACGACGACCAAACGAACACACUAAAUUUAUCAAGUUAUAAAAUACAACACCUAAGAUUCUCUGUUCUAGAUUGAUAGUUCGUAGAGGUGGCAAUGACUUGCUAGCUCUCUUUUGUUUUCCAAAAUUAUUUACCACCUCAAAAUCUUGA